GACGAACGCUGGCGGCGCGCUUAACACAUGCAAGUCGAGCGGUAAGGCCCUUUCGGGGGUACACGAGCGGCGAACGGGUGAGUAACACGUGGGUGACCUGCCCUCAGCUCUGGGAUAAGCCUGGGAAACCGGGUCUAAUACCGGAUAUGACUCCAUGACGCAUGUUGUGGGGUGGAAAGCCUUGUGCGGCUGAGGAUGGGCCCGCGGCCUAUCAGCUUGUUGGUGGGGUGAUGGCCUACCAAGGCGACGACGGGUAGCCGGCCUGAGAGGGCGACCGGCCACA
rnacentral:rRNA from 1 species